rnacentral:rRNA from 1 species
GUCACUAGCCAUGUCACCCUGCAGCCCAAGACCGGUUACACACUGAAGCCAAGCAGGGCUGAGCCUGGUCAGUACCUGGAUGGGAGACCACUAGGGAACACUAGGUUGCUGUUGGAA